rnacentral:rRNA from 1 species
GACGUAGGGCGCGAGCGUUGUCCGGAUUUAUUGGGCGUAAAGAGCUCGUAGGCGGUUUGUUGCGUCUAUCGUGAAAACCUGCAGCUUAACUGUGGGCUUGCGGUGGAUACGGGCAGACUUGAGUUCGGUAGGGGAGACUGGAAUUCCUGGUGUAGCGGUGAAAUGCGCAGAUAUCAGGAGGAACACCGGUGGCGAAGGCGGGUCUCUGGGCCGAUAUUGACGCUGAGGAGCGAAAGCGUGGGGAGCGAACAGG